CCGGUGCCACACUGCCAUGAGCUCCCCGUACCCACUCCUCCGGAGAGAGAGCAGCCGUCUUUAGAAGAGAGCAGCAAGUCAGAGAGCGAGGAAGACGUUGUAGAUCCAGAUGACAAUUUCAGAGGUGGAGCUGAGGAGAGAAACCCAUACUACCCCAACCAAAAAGACUACUCACUUCUAAAUCUUUUGUAGUCAUUUUUGUAUUACUUUAGUAUAAAUACAUGUUAAUUUGGAUUCAUAUGUUGUUUUUUUCUGACUUAUGUGAACGAAAAGACACAAAUUUGCCCGUUUUCUCAUUGGAAAUAGGUAAAUUUCAAAAUAUCACUGUCCUGGUCACAAAAGCAAAGUUUGUGGGGAAUAAUAGCCAUUUUCUAUACUUUUGAGGCAUAAGCAAUUGGGAAAUAACACUUACUACCCAGGAACAAAAAUUGUGUUACAUAGUGUAAUGAAUGGAUGUGCAUGGCAGGGAAAAUGUAUGCAGCUAUUUUGUUAGCUACAAUUAAUUUAAAACUGCGCAAUACAUUGAUUAAGGGGUGCCCAGUGGACUGCUUACAUUAUUAGUAAUGGUUUAGCCAUGAAAUUGCUAGCUGUUCGAUGAUGGUUUAUUAAUUAAUUAAUUUAUAUUGCUUGAGAGGGCUUGUCUUUUUGCUUGUCUUAAAACUAGAAAAGGAAAAGUGCCUGGUGCAGACAGCCAGCAUCCAUCACAAGGAGGCUGAUUCGGUGCCAGGGGUCAAAACAAUAAGGACAUUGUGAGAACGUGAGAUUGAGGAGGAGAAAUGGAAGCGCCUAUUGAUUUGUCCUGAUUGCAGUAGCUCAAAGGAAUUUAAAGGCUGAAUGAGACAUGGAGAAGAGGUACUGUAAAGAAAGACAGAAGAGACAAUUUUAAAGAUUUAACACCUGGGCUUCAAGACUAUUUUUGAUGUAUUACUCUACCCCUCCACCUCUUCUGCCUGUUUUUCCUAUACAGUGUAUACCCACUAAUAUUAUAUUCGUCACCAUCACUCUCGGAUAACCAAGUUUCUGUAACACCUAUCACAUCGUAGUUACUUGUUAGUGCAGUAGCUUCAAGUUCUACCAUUUUGUUUCUGAGACUUCUAGCAUUUAGAUAAAUACAUUUAAUGGCUAUCUUACCUGAGUUGUUGCCCUUGUUUUGAUGUACUCUCUUGAUGUACUGUUUUGUUGAAUUAGGCAAUUUCAAGUUAUUAAUAAAAGAGAAUUUUAAAAUUA